AAGUGCUAGAAUAACAGGCAUGAGCCACCGUAUACACGUAUGACUCAAUUUUUGUAAAAAGAAAAAGUUGUAUGUGAAAAAAUGAAAAAAUCUGAGUCCAGUAAUUAUCUAUGGUUAUAUUAAGAAAGAUUAGAUGAAUGCUGAAGGGAGAGGAGAAGGGGAUACAAUGGUUUCACUUCCUAAUAUGGCUUAAAAAAAAACUUGUAGACAUUUACUCAUUUAAAAAAUUAACUUGGAACCUCUUACUAAGUGAGACUCAUAGCCUAUCUCAAAGAGCAAUAAUGUGACAUUUGAAGAUUUUACUGAUGUGGACGGACACAGAAACAAGAACUGAUAGAUAAGUUAUUAGAUGCCUUUGCUUUGGAUGCCUUUUCUCUUCUUUUUUGUAAAUUAUUAAUAAUGUUGGCAGGGGAGCAAUGAACUUGCCAUUAGGGUUUGGCAACCUGCUUGAGUUUCCUGGGUAUCCUGUGAUUCCUCUCUGUUCCUUGCCGCACAGCACUGGCUCAGAUCUGUGCCUUUCAUGUAGCAGCGGUGUGAAAACCUAUGCUCUCUUAUAGCCUCAUUUGGUUUCCUUUUUCAGGAUAUUACAUUAUGAAACAUUUCUGGAAAUUUGCAGCUUUCGACAGUAAAUACAAAUGAUUUGUGAUUCCACUAAGCCACUGCUUCAUAGUAGGCUGUUGAAUGGUGAACAUUUUAAGGAGCAUGGGAACAGGCAUAUUUUGUUUUGAUCUUGCACAGUCUCAUUUGAAGGAACGUUAUUCGUUUGAAGAUGGGCUAUGAUUUACAGAAAGGCAAUUAUAUUGAGAAAUAAUAACGAGCAUUUAGUAAUACAUAUCAAAAUGGAGAAUAUGAGUAACUUUAGACCAGAUCUAAAUUACAAGAUCUUUUAUUCUACACGAGUAAUUUUAACAGCUGAAAUUUGCCUAUCUUGUUGGUGAUCAGAUACCCAGUGCCCUCCAAAAUAUAGGGUCAAAUAAGAUGUGGGUGAUUUCUUCGUGGCAUAUCAUUCUAGGCCUAUUUUCUGUAAUUCAUUGUUUACUCACCUAGAGCUUAUACUCUAGUCUUAUUAAAUUUCUUGCUUUCCUCUAAAUAUCUCAUAUACUUCUCUGCUUUGAGAACUUUAUUCAAGUUAUUUCUGCUUUUUGGAAUACCUUUUCCCCUUUUCUUCCCUUCUUUUCUCUUUACUCUCCAUUGUCUCUGUGAUUCUUUUUGGUCCCUAACUACCCACAAACAAACACCCACCUCUGUUCCACUUCCUGUUUCGAUGCAAGAGCUUUCCCCAUGAAACCUCCCUACAACUAUCAGCUAGCAAGAAUCACUGCUCACUUAGCAUUCACAGCCCUUUAUUUACACUUAUGCCUUACACUGUUGCUUCUCAAUGGAUGGUCUAAGGAGCAGCAGCAAUAGCAGCCUCUGUGGGUUGACUAGAAACACAGAAUCUUGAGUCUUGUCCUAGACUUAUGGAAUGUGUGAAUCUCCCUUUUACCUCAUUUUCCAGGUCCUCCUUAUGCAUGUUACCAUUUGAGAAGCUCUGUCUUAGAGAAGAUAUCCAACUUUGCCUUCACUUGGUUGCUUUUGUGUCAGUGGGUUCUGAUAUAAUCUGUCUUGUGAUCACAGACUAUGUCCUUAGCAUUCAUCUGCAAGGCAGGAUGGAGGGCUUUGCACACAGUAGGGGCUCUUAGCUGUGUGUUGUUGAAUAAAUGCUUGCAUUUUCAAUGAAGGGGGGGUUUGAGGGAAAUAUACAAAUACAGGGUAUUUCCGUAUUCAUGUCAGCAAGAUGUCAUUCAGAUUGUCUGGUUUCCAUCAUUGCUGUGGUUGGGUUUUAUACACCGUUGUACAAAGGAACUGAUACGGUGUGGCUGUUUUCUCAUCCAAAUCUCAUCUUGAAUUUUAGUUCCCAUAAUCCCCAUGUGUCGUGGGAGAGACCCAGCGGGAGGUAAUUGAAUCAUGGGGGCAGUUACCCCCAUGAUGCUGUUCUCCUGAUAGGGAGUGCGUUCUCAGGAGAUCUGAUGGAUUUAUAAAGGGCUUUCCCCUGUUUGGCUUAGCACUAAUAAACUAAUACAGAGACUUAGUACCUUAUCAAAUCUGUUUCCUCCUCUCACCUCUUUGAGAAAAAGCUACAGUGAUGUGGAGGAUUCGAGCUUUCAGAAACUCAGGUGAGUUCACUGUCCAGGAGAUUAUAUUUAAAGCAUAAGGAAAUACUUUGUGUUAAUAUUUUAUGACUAGGGCUAUAUCUGUAUAUCUGUGACAAUUGUAUAUUUGUUCAGGAAUUGGAAGCCUGAUCACAAGGUCAGAGUAAGGUCCAGAAUCAGAGUUUGGUGCAUCUGAUCUUAGGAAAAUAACAUUGUUUUAGUUUAUUAUAUUUCCUUUUGUAAAAUUGACAAGCAAAAGCUUCAUAAUUUCAAAAGAGCUUUUCUAUCUUGUAUUACAGAUUGUAACAGACUUGCAUUCAGACUCAUUCUCACAGUAUCUUCAUCUGCCCCACCUCCCCUGGUAUUCCUGUUUUUCUUAGUGUUAUUUUUGACUUCUCUCAUCUGUACAUAUUUCUUUUGCAGUUUUCUUAGUUAUUCUAUUCGUGUUCCAAUACUUAAAACAUCUGUAUCAUAUAACUCUGGUGACAUUCCUGACCCUUUACAAAAUGUGUGCAGUUACUAAAAUUACAAUAUAUAUAAAUAUAUAAAAUAAAAUAAAUAAGAUUAAAGUAAAAAUAAAAAUAAUAAAAUACAAUGAAAUAGAUAUAAAUAAUUAUAAAUAAAAUGUAAAAAAUAACCAAACAGGUGAUUAUUUGACAUAUAUAAGAAAAAACACAGUAGGGACUUGCCAUUUUUAUUUCUGUUAUUAGAACAGAUCUUGAAAAUGUAAUGUCUGUUACAUCCAUUUCUUUUAGAUUUGGAUUAUUAAGAUUAUUAAGACAUUGUUGAUUAUUAAGAUUGUUAAGAUUUAGACAUUGUUUGAAUACUUCUUUCUACUUUUAAUGGCCAUUUAAAAUAUAUAUAUAUAUAUAUGUAUUUUAUGGGUCUGUGCUCUCCCUGUGGCAUUUCAAUGAUACAAAAAAAGGAUUAAAGAAACCAAAACAAAACACUACUUGUUUCACUGUCAAACCUUAAGUUCCUUACAAUAAAAUGAAGUAGAGAAGAUGUGCACACAUAAUGAGAAAAUGCUAGCAUACAUAUACAUACAUACAUACUUAUAUAUGUGUGUGUGUGUGCGUGUGUGUGUGUAUAUAUAUAUAUAUAUAUAUAUAUAUAAUUGUCAUAGGGUUUUUGUUUAGAGAAAUCUAGGAGGUCUUGGAUAUGCAAAAAUGACAAGGUUAGUAGAGCACUGAAGGAUAUUUUAGAUGAAUCCUGAUUACUUGUUACUCACAUUCAUAUAUCCUCCCUCUCUCUUCCGACCUCUCUGCCUUCCUCUCUCCUCACAGGUCUCUUACUACCUUUCCCUCCCUCUGUCCUGAUUUUGUCUUUCGUGGAUGGAUGUUCAUCGUAUGAUGUCCAUUCUGAAGCUGAAAGCCUCAAAGACUCAAAGGCAGAUAAUUCUCUUUUUGAAAGUCAUAUUACAAAACCCUUUUCACGAACCUGUCUAUAGGGAAAUUUCUUCCUGUCCUGGCUGUGCAAUUAACCAUUUAUUUGUUUUCAUGGAUACCAAUGCUCAUUCAUUUUAAACUUGGUAUUUUUUUUCCUCCUGAGAAGUUCAUUGUUCUCUUUCUUCAGUUUUCCUAUUUGUUUGUAAUAAUAGGAAUUAGUCUUUCCAUGUAUCUGUGUUGAUUUUUUUUUAUAACUAAAUUUAUUUUAGUGAAAAUUAUAGAGGUUAUAUGUUUAGGAGCUGUUGGGGAAAUAAAAUUAAAAGCAAAAUCUCCCAACUGAGAAAUUCUCUCUACAAAAGUGAGAGAGAAAGAAAACACAUUUAUUUAUUUAUUCUUGAACAUGCAUUAUUAAAUCAGAAUGUGAUGUACAUCGAAGGUAAUCCCCCAAGAGAUUGCAAAGACAGAAAGAAAUCUCACUAUUUUAUGAAGCCAAACAGCCCAUUACAUGCAUGUUUUGAAGAUAAACAAUAACUUGUCCCCCAAGUAAGCUUGACAGCACCGUUUGUCACACAUAGCUCAUCCUAACUUUACCUGGUAAUUGGGGUGGCCAUCCAUGUUAACUGAUUGGGUUUGGCCAGAGGAAAAACAAACUUUUCAUAUCUUUAUGACAGGAGGUAAUUUUUUAACUUGCUGCAAGGUGCCUACCAAAGUCAGACUCCAGCUCUCCCACAGAAACUGGGAGAUAGGGGUGCUAGCUACCUUGAUGUUCACUUUUCAAGGAGAUGGCCUUUAGGUCUUUGUAAAGGCAUUCCUAGGUCACAAAGCUGACAAAAGUCCUUGUCUAGUCUUCAAAAGGAUUUGUAUACAUUUCAAAGAGUGCAAAAAAUACUCAAUAAUUGCAAGUUAACCAAAGUAAAUGCUCUGAGAAAAAGUAAGAGGGUGAAGAAUCUUUUCCCUUAUUUUCGAAAAGAAUUAGGCUUCUUAUUUUUAAUAUGUACUUAUUCUGACAGGAGGUAGGUCCUAUUUCAUUAUGUUUGACUAAGCAGUUCGGAAUUAAAGUUUUACUUUUUCUGAGUUUGAGAUUCAGCUGAGGUUAGUCUUUCAUGGUUUGAGAAUUCAUUAGCAUUUCUUCUAUUUGUAUUUUUAUUGUGACAAAAUUUACCAUGUUAACCAUUUUUGAGUCUACUGUUUUGUGGAAUUAAGUACAUUUUCAUUGUGGUGCAACUAUCCCCAUCAUUCAUCUCCAGAAUUUUUCACAUUUCCUAUUGAAACUGGAGCCAUUAAACACUCACUUCUCAUUCUGUCCUCCCCUCAACCCCUGGCAACCACCAUCAUUAUCACUUUAACCUACCUAUUCAGGCUGCCUGUGAAAUUUCAAUAAUAUCCUGUCUCUGGAUGAGAAGUGGAGAAUUGUGUUUGCCCAGGAUUUUAAAGACAAAGAUGUUUUAUUGAGAAGCUGACAGAAAACAACGUAAAAACCUUGAACGUGGUGCACCCAUUUAUAAAAAUGAUGCCAUACUAAUUAUAAACAACUUAAGUCUGUGCAGCUCCCCAGAGAUGUCUCAUUUGUGCCCCUUCAUUACUAUCAAACUAAUAAUUAAAAACCUUUCUGGUGAAAGAUUUUUUUGCAUAUAAUUCAGGGAUUUUACUAACGUAGAGUUGGCAUUUUUCACAGCCCUUGCUCCAGUGAAUUUUUAUCUUUCUUAAUUGAUCUUUUGGACACAGCAAACUAAAUACUGAACCCUUCAUGUAUUUUGUUUUAUAAACUGCCAUGAGCGUUGGCGAGAAUAAUGUGAAAGAAUCAGGGCAGACAAUCUGCUGCAGCCAGACAACCUGUCUUAAAAUCAAGCUUUGCUGUUUGAUUGUUGUGAUAUCUUGCGUUAGACACUUCACCUUUUGGCACCUGAUUUUAUCAUCUGUAAAACAGGAAAAUUAUAUUCCUUUUUGAGUCAGUUGUGUGACUAUCAAAUAGAAUAAGACAUGAAAGAAAGCGCUGUGUAUAGUGUCAAAGCACGAAUUAUUUCAGUUGAGUAAUGUACUUAGCAUAAAGUAGGAAUUUGGAAAAUGCUUGUUGAAUGAAUGAACAAAUGUUAUUUUCAAAGUUAAUUUUUCUUGGGCUCUCUCUUCUCCACAUGUAUGCCUGUCAUGGCUUAUAACCUCCCUUCUCUUGGCUUUCCUCUGAUAUUUGAUCUUAUCCUCCUCUCCUACCCAAAUUAUGCUUUCAGUUUAAAAGCUCCAGAUCUCAGAGUUUGGGUAAUAAUCUGAAAGGGGUCGUGGAAUUUCUGUUAUAUUCUUUCAUAGAAAACUCUUUCUUUCUAAAUGGAACUGCUUCCUGAAAGCUUUUGGGGUUUAGAAAUGGCAAUUAGAGUUACCCAUUGUAACAUACAGAAAGAUUAAGGGAUUUUUUUUUUUCCUAGCAUCGGUAGACUCUGGGGAGUUUAUCCUAGCCAAAAAAAAUGAUGAGCUUCAAUAAUGUUAAGUCAGACAUGUGAAUCCAAAUUAAACAAAAUUUAUGGUGUAAGUCCAAGCUGCUCCCUCUAUGGUCACUUGGGUGGGAGCUCACUGAGCAACUCUGUUGUUCAGUGUCACCAUGCACAUGAUAAAUGCAAAUGUAUGUAUUAUAAAGCAUCAUAACCAAGGCUUACACUGACAAAGGCAGACGACAAUCUCAAGGUAUUCUGUUGAAUGUACCUUGCCUGACAUAUUUUAGUGGAAAAAUCAUCCACAAUGAUCUGAGAAAGAAAUGAUUGUUGAGAGACCGAAGCGGUAGAAAACACAUAAAGAAAUUAUAGUAUUUUCCUGGAUUGAGAAACAGCCUGUAGAAUCACUCUGUUUAGAGGAAUGUAAUUAUUCAAUCAAUAAUCCAGAGCGAUUUCUAUAUGCCAGGCUUCAUGCUAGGCCCUGGGAGCCAAAAAUGAAUCCGAAGUGGACCCUGUCUGCAAGGGUCUUAAGAGAGAAGAGAUACACGCUUAAUUAAUAGUACGAGUACAUUACUGAGACUAAAGAGGAAACUUAGCUAAAGUUUUAGGGAGAAGGGAGAAAUCACAUCUGACAGAGGGAAGCAGGGAGGUUUUAUGAAGGAACUGGUUUCAGAACUAUGCCCUGAAGGACAGGUGGUACUUGUACAUGUGGAGAGGGUAAUGAAGGGCAUCCCAGGCAUAAGAAAUGAGUAAAGGGGAAGGCAGGCAGGUGGUGACCUGUAGCAAUGUCUGUAUUUGUACCUGUGGUGGGAAUCCUUGCUGUAUGAGAAGUGGAGGUACAGCAAAAGGUUGGAAAGAGAGUUUGCUGCCAGAUCAUGGAGGAUCCAGAAUGUCAGUGAAGGGCAUCAGGGAAGUAGCACUAGGAUAUGAUGUUUGAAAAAACUGCUUCGGUCUUUGUCAUCAGUCAGCCUUUACAGGUGUUCCCAUGGCACCCAACACUUACCUGAGGCUUAUGGGCCUUCUUGUUUUUAUGGUGGUAAAUAUCUCUUCCUCUGGUUUUAUAGAAGGAGAUUUCAGUCCGUUUUUUAUAUAUUAGAGAAUGAAAAUAAUAUUUACAUGCAAAAACUCUUUGUAGGUCACCUUAAUAAAUACAUUCAUUUUCUUAUCAUCUUCCUCUUUUUCAGAAAAAGAAGAACAAUUAAAAAUAAUAGCACUUUUUAUUUUUCUAACAUUAAGGUCACACAGGUGAAAGGGUUAUUUGCUGGGUCUUGUAUGUGCUUACUCCGUUUAUAAUUGGAAGAAUAAAGACUCCCCUCUGUUUUCUGACUUUUCCUCUAUGGUGUCUUAUGUUCUGAUUUGGCCACAGUCUUUAAGUAUCCAAAAUUCUGGAAGCAGUGAAAUUAUAAUUGACUCCAAUUAGCUACACUGGUGGAGCAUAGCAUCCUCAUACUGAAAUGCACCAGUGUGUCUUACAUCUCAUUUUAGCUAGCCAUUGUGUCAUUGUUCCGCCCUCGGCUUGCCACAGGAAUGGUUUAGCAAGUUAGAAAAUUGAUUUGAAUUUCCUACUUUUUUCCCAAUUAAAAAUUCAUGACCCUUACUAUAAAAUUACCUCCAGUAGGAGUAAUACACUCAAUGAGAGAAUUUAUAGAAAUUCCUCAAAGCCUGAUGUACUGUUAGGGGACAAACUCCACCUCCCCUCCCCUUUUUUUCUGAAAGAACAUCACUCAGCAUUUCUAAACUGUGUUUAAGUAUCCUGAUGCUUGGAGAUAUUGCUAAACAAGAAUUACUUAAGUCAAUUAGGUUUGAGAAACAUUGUAUAUUAUUACUAAGCAAUUUAGUUUUACAACAUGCAUUAGCAUCCUAAAAGGCCCUGAAAGAAGUCCUGUGGAAAAAGAUAACUUUUAAACCUAUUUUACCUAAUAUUAAUGACCUAAUGUUUCUCUAACAUGAGGGUGAAUUACCAAAACAUAGUUUUUCAAAAUCAUUCUGUAAAAGCCCGAGCUGAACAAUGUGAAUCAAUAUGUGGCCUUCAGAGGGUCUAAGUUAAUCUAAGCAUAAAAUUAAAAAAUAUCAGGAGACUCUAACUAAGGAGGUGCAUUUAUUAGGACUAAUAGUAAAUGAAUCCAUUGAAUCCAUCCUCUAUUUACCUACCAGGAUUUACACGAGAAUUUUUUCAUAGCCUAGAGAUCCUUUAAAACCCUGUCUGUGUUAACGGAGCUGCUACAUCUGAUAUUAUUUUCCUGAAUCUGAAGAAACACCAAAGGGGACUGAAAUAAUAAGACAUUAAUUUCGGCUGUAGAAUGCCGAUGUUGCUGACCCUGCAGGGUUAUUGCAGAGGGAGAUUAAUUAUGCAGAUCUGCCACCCUAGGCUUGGAGUUGAAGUACCCUGUUGUAAUUCACUGCAGGAUCAUUCACGUAGCCAGCACAUUGAUAUGAUUAUUAUUCCACCAAGGUUUUUAUCUGCCCCUAGACAAUUACAGAACCACUUACCAGCAUCUCUCAUUGACUUCUUAUUUAAAAUUCCCAGGGCCACGGCAGGCAUUCGAGUCCUUUUAUUGGAGACAGCUACAGAUCAAUGGCAUGAAGCAACAUGGGAUUUUCUUUAGGACAUGACAAAUGCUGAGAUUGUUGCUAAGCAGAAGAUAGACAUUCGGAUUCCAGUAGAAAAUAGUUGUAGUGGCUCCUUAUCUCUCACACAAACUUUUAAGGCAAUGACAAGAACAUACAAUGGAAAUGCUAUGAGAUUUGGUGUCAAGGCAUUUGAGUUUGAACACUGGCUUCACCAUUUGGUAUCCAUGAAGCUAUAGUUCUUCUGUAAAAUGGAAUCGAAGUUAAAUGACAGGCUCCUGGCAGCUUGAGGAUCUGGAGAUCUCAUUAGGUUGUGAGAUUAAAUGUAUAUAUGUGUGAAAUCCCUGCUAGGAUAUGUAUAUGUGUGUGAAUCCCUACGAGGUUGUGAGGUUUUAGUGUAUAAAUGUCAGAAAAAAAACUCUGUGAAUGAUAAAAUGUUUUAAAAAUAUUUUUGUGCUAAUGAGAAUGGCUUUCAUUUCCUGUGUAGUCAUAAUGGAACAUCCUUUUCAUGGCCCCAUUGCUUGGGUGAUGACCUAUCAAUGCCUGUAAUCACCUAACACAGAAUGUAGUAACUAUGCAUUGGUAUGAUUAGCAGCUCCAUGCAGUGUACAUUCUUGAAAUGAUGUGAAGAAUAAAAUUUCUAUUUCUUAUUGCUGCCCUUAGCCCGUGGUUUUAGGGACUUCAAACCUGCAAGAUAAUAUUCAUCUAAUUUGCAUUUUUUCAGUUAAGAUUUCCUUUCUGUUCUGUAGAUCAGUGGUAAAAAGUAUAGCUUGUUUGGUUUGGUUUGUUUUAAUUGUCCCCUAAGAGCCUUUCUUCCUUAUGCAUGGCUGCAUCACAGAAUGCUACCUGUCUUCAGAGGCCAGCUGUAGUAUCAGCUCCAAGGAGUCUUUCCACCCUCACUCCUCAGUAUAAACUUCUCUCCCCACAACUCCUACUCUCUACCACAUUAAAAUGCAAGUAAUUCCUUCCCCACGGCAUGUAGGCAUGUUGCUUGGACUGAUUUGUAUACUUAAUAAUAGCAUGAGCAAACACAGAUAACUAGCUUUGUACAGUUAAAUAAUAACAGCAAAUACACUUUUAGGCAUUUUAUAUAUCUUAACUCAUGUAAUCCCCUCAGCAAUCAUAGAAAGUAGAAAAUAUUAUUCUCCCCAUUUUGCAGGUGGGAGAAGUAAGUCAUGAAGAGAUUAAGUAAGUAACUUGCCCAAUAUUUCAUAGGCACCAUGUGGCAGAGCUAGGAGCUGGUAAUUAAAAUAAUAGGCUUUUAAACUAUGGGGUUACAAUGAGUCAUAGGCAAAUUGGAGAUUUGUAUAGGUUGUAAGUUCCUGGAUGUCUGGGACGAUGAAAAUCUGUGUCAUCCAUUAGCAUUUAGCAUAAGGGCUCCACAUGGUAAGAGCCCAGUUAAGUGAAAUAGCUUUGCAUUGGGAAAAUCACCCCUUAAAAGUUUAUGAGGCAGCCAGAAAAUGCCCCCCUUGUCCUCUGUCAACAUUUUUUUAGUGUAUGUUCUGCCCUCCUGCUCAAUAUGCUUGUCAGAGCAUUUUAAAACCUCACAUUAAGCACCGCUUGAGCACCUCUCUGUUUUUGUUUUUUUGUGAGUAGCUGUGUGAUAAAGAUAAGGCAUACUUGUUGAAAUUAGGGUUACUUGAGUCUUUAGUGGUUUAUGGAUCAGUAGAUAAUAGCACUAUAAAAUUCCAGCUUAUUCUCUUUCUGAUGAAAGGGGAAUUGCAUGGUGUUACUUUAUUGUCAAUAAAGUCACCAAAUGUCAAUGCAUAUGAAAAGAACUCUGGCCAUAGUCCUCCUCCCCUUCCCCCUAUCCAGUGUGAUCUGGUGGACUGAGGUCACAGCCCAGACUAUGGGACUGGUGGGUGCACAUUGCCAUCUGUCAGGAUGAUCCUGGUGCCCAAAAAUUAGUGAAAGAAGCCAUAGAAUUUCCUCAGCAGGGACACAGACUAACACAGACCUCCUCAGUGUUAGUUCAUAAGGAGAUUUUCUUUAACACUUUAGGUACAGAGGCAUGAUAUUUCUUUAAGACUUAUGUUUUUGGCUUAUAGGAGUUCCCAGGAAGACUUGGAAUAUUAUCUUUGUGCUUUAGGGACAAGACUGGGGAUUGGAGCAGUGAGGAUGCCUAAUAGGCUGUUUUCUCCUAUAGAAUGAGAAUACCUGGAGGAUGACACUUCUGUGGUAUGUAAUGAGUCUCUACUUUUAUGGAAUUCUGCAAAGUGAUGCCUCAGGAUUAUGGCCUCCAACUGCAUGAAUAUUGCUACAAAGGGAGCUAAGCAUUGAGCACAUGUGGACAUCAACAUGGGAACAAUAGACACUGCAGACUACUAGAGAGAGGAGGGAAGAGGGGACAGGUUGAAAAAUUACCUAUCGGGUAUCUGUACCCCAAACUUUCAGGAUCAUGCAAUAGUCCCAUUUUACUAACCUGCAUGUGUAGCUUGUAUCUAAAAUAAAAGUUGAAAUUAAAAAUAAUUUAAAAAUAAAAGUACUUAUUAUCUGACUGUAUUUCAAUCUAGUUAAAUUUGUAUUUAGAAGUAAAGGGUAACAAUUUUUAGAAAUAAGAAAGUAUAUAGAUCUGAACUGUUGUAAUCCUUGGGAUGGCAAGCAAGAGGCAAUUGUGACAGGUAUGAUAGUUUAAGCCUUGGCUCUUUGUUUCUAUCUGUAAAUUGAUAUGGUGAUAACUUUUCUAGCACAGAGAUAAUUUCGACAUUCAUGAAAUGACCUUGGUAGACUAUUAAAUUAGAAGCUUUCUGAGGGAAAAUAGAUAUUGCCAUAGAUUUUCCUGCAUUAUAACCAUGGCUCAUCUUUCUGUAUUUGUUAGUGUGUCAUGUCAAGAAAAUAAGCAUUAGCUACCCAAAUACUUGGAAUUUGAAAUUAGCAACUCCCCACUUUCCUCCAUCAGUCUACUAAUAUUGGAUACUGUAUUAGUCUGUUCCCAAGUUGCUAAUAAAGACAUAACAGAGACUGGGUAAUUUAUAAAGAAAAAGAAAUUUAAUGGACUCAGAGUUCCAUGUGGCUGGGGAGGACUCAAAAUCAUGGAGGAAGGUGGAGGAGAAGCAAAGGCAUGUCCUACAUGCCAGCAGGCCAAAAAGCAUGUGCAGGGGAAUUGCCCUUUAUAAAACCAUCAGAUCUCAUGAGACGUAUUCACUAUCAUGACAACAGCAUGGUUAACCCUCCCCACCACCACCGUGAUUCAAUUACCUCCCACUAGAUCCCUCCCAUGACAUAUGGGGAUUAUGGGAACUACAAUUCAAGAUGAGAUUUGGGUGGGGACACAGCCAAACCAUAUCAGAUGCUUAGCCCGAAACCUAUCAAUACACUCUGAUUCUUACCUGCUUUAUCUACUCAUUUAAACAUUUCUCUUCAUUACAGGCAGCUUUCUGUUUUGUUUAUUUUUGGUUUUGCUUUUAAGAGCUCCGUACUACAGAGUAUACUAAGCUAGUUGUCAACAUUUCAAUAUGUGUAGGCAUGGUUAUGCAUGUGUUAAGCAAAUGAGUACUUCCUCCUUUAUCCAUCGGCAUUCCUUCAUUUCUCUAUGCAAUAAACAUACGUUGUGUUAGGCUUACACUGUGUGCCAGCUACAGUUCACAUUACCAUUAUAUUCACUAACCAUUAUAUUCACUAACCAUUAUAGUGAUGAAUAAUAUCAAAUAGCAUUUUAUAGUAUUAAAAUGCUUACAUUAUUUUAUCUUAGAAUAACAUUGUAAAAUAUAUUAUUAUUCUCAUUUCACAAAUAAGGAAAUAGAAGCCUGGAGAGAUUAGGUGGUUUAGACAUAGUUUUACAUAUAGGAAGUAGAAGAACCAGAACUCAAGGUUUUGUCCUCUGUUCUCAAGCCCAUGAUUCUUUUCUCCUGGCAGACCCAAGGGAUAUCUACCCUUUUAUUACUGAGGACAUCUUUUAUUUUAUAUUUUUUCUAAAGAUUCCUUGUAUUGCAAGCAAUAAAAACAGACACAUUAGUCAUGCAGCCAUCACAACAAUCUAAUUUUAGAACAUUCCAUCACCCCAAAAGGAAGCCCUGAGGAUUAGCAGCCAAAUCCACAACCCAUUCUCCCCUCCCUAAGCCCUAGGCAACCACUAGUCUACUUCCUGUCUCUAUAGAUUUGCCUAUUUUGGAUAUUUCUUAUACAUGGGUUGAUAUUUUAUGUGGCAUUUUGUGAUUGAUUUAGUUUGCACUUAAUGCAAUGUGUUCAAGGUACAUCUAUGAUAUAGCAUGUAUCACUAUGUUAUUUUUUAGUAAUGAAUAAUAUUCAUCAUUGAAUUGAAUCAUAAUUGAUAAAUAUUACUCAUCUCUGAUGGACCUGUGUGUGGUUUCCAGAUUUUGACUAUCAUGAAUAAUGCUGCUAUGGACAUAUGUGUACAAGUUUUUACUUGUAUGUUUUUAGUUUUGUUGGGUAUAUAGCUAUAAGUUGAAUUACUGAGUUAUGGUAACUCUAUGCUUAAUAUUUUGAAAAACUGACAUUUUCCAAGGUAACUGUACCACUGUAAAUGUCUUUUUGAAGUAUUUUGAAGUAUAUACCUCUUUGAGGUAUUUGCACUCUGUGUAAAUGGAGAACAACUCGUGUGCACAUCUUAUGUUCAACUUUUUUCAGCUUUCAUGUAUCUCCUGUUCAACUUUCAUACUCAGCUGAUUUCAGCUCCAGUGAAUAUCUGUCUAGAUAUGGGACUGCUGGAUCAAAUGCUACUCUUAUUUUUAAUUAUUUGGCAACACUUCCAUAGUGUUUUUCUAGAAUAGAUAAAGAGAAGGCAUUAUAUCAUACAAUUGAAUAUCAGUCAGUCCUAAAAAAGGAGGAAAUCCUGCCAUAUGCAUGGACCUGGAGGACAUUAUGCUAACUUAAGUAAGCCAGGCACAGAAGGAGAAACACUACAUGAUGCUAUUUAUAUGAAGAAUCUAAAAUAGUUAAACUCAUAGAAGCAGAGAGUAGAAUGGUGGUUGCCAGAGGCUGAGGAGGGGGAGAAAUGGAGAGCUGUUAAUCAAAGGAUGCAAAGUUUCAGUUAUGCAUGGUAAGUCCUAGAAAUCUACUGUACACCAUAGUGCCUGUAACACUUCUGUAUUGUAUACUUAAAAGUUUGCUAAGAAAUUAAAUCUUAUAUAAGGUGUUCUAAUCACUAAAAUAAUUAAUAAAUAAAUGAAUACAUAAUAGGGCAGGAGCAAACUUUUAGAGGUUAUGUAUAUGAUCAUGGCAUAGAUUAUGAUGAUGGUUUCUUGUCCGUGUAUGUAUCUUCAAACUCAUCACUUUGUGCACAUCAAAUAUGUACAGGUUUUUUAUGUCAAUCCUGCCUCAAUAAGGUGUUUUUUUAAAAGAAACAGCAGAAGAGGUCACUGUGAAUUCAGAGGUCUUCAGAGGAUUCAGCCCUUUAAUCUCUGAUUCAGUAAAGGGGCAUCUGAGUGUUUCCUUUUUUGUUAGUGUAACAAAUAUAAAUCUCAGUGCUAUGGGAACUCAGAAAAUGUUCUGGAUCAAAACAUGCCCUGGGUAAUUCACAAUGUAUAAGGCAGAGAAGAAAACCCUGGACCCAAGUCAAAUCCUGGCUCCGUGUGACUCUCAGUGUCCUUAUCUAUAAAAUGAAGCUGAUAAUAUCAGCUCUGCUUGCCCCACAGAACUGUUUUGGAGAUCCAGUGAGAGAAUGAAUCUAAAGUUUUCUGUAACCAGUAAAAGCAAAUAAGGAAGCAGAUGCUCAGUCAGAUGAGCCUAGAAACAGAUACCACAUACUUGGCAGAUAGGUAAGCACCAAUUGGUGCUCUGUAUUAUGAGAUUAGGAUAGAGACUUUUUACCUUGGAAGGUGUGUGCUUGCUUACAAGAAUCCAUAUUGCCAAAUGUGAGCAAACCCUUGCCCAUCAGAGUUUUUGCAAAAUUCAGAUGUUCAGUUAUAUAUCAGUUGUUUAAGAAUUCAAAAGUAGAUUGUAGCUUAUUUUUCAAAACCAGUUGCUUUACAACCAGUUUAUGAUUCUGUGAUUCUCUGCUACCUUCCCUGAUUUUGAUGACUCUAAAUCAGUUGAGGCUUGUAUUAUUUUUCUAUUGUAUUUUUCUUUUCUUUUUUUUAUUAUACUUUAAGUUUUGGGGUACAUAUUUACUAAAGAAAGAUGGGAAAAUAAAAUUUAUUCAUUCAACAGUGAUUGUUUGUGGUAUUUCCGUGAGCCAGGUAUUUGAUAGGCAUUAGGAUAUGAUAAGGAGCAAAAUAGUCCCUGUUCUUUACUUCAUACUCCUUUAUAUAUUAUCUGUUCCAUGUCUAACUGUAUCAGGGCCCCUGCUAUUCACCAGGACUCGUGGAUGGCACCAAUACUGUGUUUUAAAAAUGAAAAACAAAGCAGAGGUCAAAGUUAGGUUCUAAAAGAAAUAAAUAUGAGGAAUAACAUAAGGAAUAUAAAAGAUGUUGAGACUGCAAUUCAGUUUUGUUGCUAAUUUAUUGUGUGAAUUUGGGCGAGCUACUUAACCUGUCUGAAUCUGUUUCCACAUCUGUUAAUUUGCUUAGCUAUUGGCUCUUACAAACUAGCAAUCCAUACUUUGAGAUUCAAGAGCCUCUGAACCAAGUUGCCUUUCUUUUUCUUUACGUUUUUGAUCAAUCUAUCUUUGAUCAUUUUCCAUGUGGCUCUAUCUGCUCCUCUCCAUCUUAAGUAUCCUAGUCCAAGCCACAUAAUCUCAUUCUUUAACUUUUCUUUUCUUCUCUCUCUCUCGGUCUCUCUCUCUCUUUUUUUUCUUUUGAGAUG